rnacentral:tRNA from 1 species
CACUAGAUGACUGAAAGUAAGUAAGGGUCUCUUAAACCUUUUUAUAGUACCUAACAACUACUUCUAAUGA